UGGGAAACGUAGUCCAACAACGAAAGAGCCCUGAAGCUCAAGCGGAGCCCGCUGGCCGCAGGGGCCGCACCACGCCCCAGACCCUGGAGUUUCCGGGUGCGCAGACCCUUGCCAUCAGCAGAGGCUGCCGCUGCGCGUCCCCUAGGCGCGGAAGAGGCGGCUGGUGGUCCCUGACGGCAAGGUGAAGUCGAGGCAGUAAUCGGGAACCCAGGUUUUAUACAUUACGAAUAAAGCUGGCACGUUUCCAUUUCUCCUGGGCAAAUAUUUAGAAGAAAAGUUGCUGGGUAAUUGGUGGAGACAAGGUUUCGCCACAUUGACUGGGCUGGUCUGGAACUCCUGAGCUCAAGCAACCGGCCCUCCUUGACCUCCCAAAGUGCUAGGAUUACAGGUGUGAACCACCGUGCCCGGCCCUACUUUCUAUCGAAGUAGAAUAGGAUUAAAAAUAUGCAUGGAGCUGUCAUCGCCUAUGAAAACAAUGCCUUCUUCUGGAUACCUCCUGAAGGACUUGCCUGAGGCUGUUUUACAGUUACUUUUUUUUUUUAAUAAGUAGAAGGAGUACAGUCUAAAAUAAUAAUACAAAUAGUACAAUAAAUUACAUAAACUAGUAAUGUAAUCACUUAUUAUUAUCACCUAUUACGUACUAUACAUAAUUGCAUGUGCUAUACUUUUAUACAACUGGAAGCACAGUAGGUUUAUUUACAGCAGCGUCACCACAAACACCUGAGUGAUAUGUUGCAUGACAACGUCCACAAGUGAUAGGAAUUUUUCAGCUCCAUUGUAAUCUUAUGGGACCACCAUUGUAUAUGUGUCCAUCAUUGAGUAAAAUGUUAUUACAUGACACAUGACUGUGUUCAUCAGGAAUAUGUAUGCUAGUAUGAACCUAUAAUGAGAGUGUUAAAUUUUAUGAAGCAAAAACUAACAGAACAAAAGAAAUAGAUCCACAAGCAUAAUUGGAAAUCCACAAUUAUAUCUCAGUAAUUGAUAGCACUUGUAGGCAAGAAAUUCAGUAGUAUAUGUAAUCAGCUCUUCAUAUAUGCAGAUUCAACCAAUAGCAAUGCACAAAUAUUCAGAAAAAACACAAUGACAGUAAAAAAAUACAAAUUUUAAAAUACAGUAUAAAAUUAUUUACAUAGCAUUUACAUUGUAUUAAGUAUUAUAAAAAAUCUAGAGAUGGUUUAAAAUAUACAGAAGGUUGUGCAUAGGUUAUAUGCAACUACUACACCAUUUUAUAUAACAAACUUGGGCAUCUGUAGGUUUUGGUAUCCACAAGGUGUCCUGGAACCAGUCCCCUGUGGAUAGCAAGGGACAACUGUAUAGAAGAUAUGAACCACACCAGUCAACAUGACCUAAUUGUUGUUUACAGAACACCAUACCCACAAUUGAAAAAUUACAUUCUUUUCAUGUACCUGAACAGUCCCCAUGAUAGACUAUUGGCUGGACCAUAAGUCACAAUAAACUUCAAAAGAUUGCCACAUUACAGGGAAUGUGCAUUAGAAACCAAUAAUAAGAAACCUAUACAGUCCUUCAAUACAUGGAAAUUAAAUAACACACUUCUAGAUCUACAGAUCAUUGAAUAAAUAAGGGGAAAAUGUUUUGAAAUAUGAAAAAGUGACAACAGCAUAUCAAAAUUGGAAGGAUACAGCUAAAGCAGAGUUGAGAGGAAUGUUAAGUACUUAAAUAAAAAAAGGAGAAAUUCAUAGCAGCAUUAUUCACAAUAACCAAGAAAUACGUACAACCCAGAUGUUCAUCAGUGGAUGAAUGGAUAAACAAAAUGUGGUAAUAUGAUUUGGAUAUUUGUUCCCUCAAAAUCUCACACGGACAUGUGACCCCCAGUGUUGGAGGUGGCGCCUAGUGGGAGGUGUUGGAUUAUGGGGUGGAUCUCAUGAAUGGCUUGGUGUCCUCCACAUGGAUAUGAGUUCAUCCUAUAGCUAGUUGUUUAAAAGAGCCUGGCACCUCCUCCCUCUCCCUUUUGUUCCCUCUUGCCAUGUGAUAUGCUAGCUCUCCCUUUGCCUUCUGCCAUAAUUGUAAGCUUCCUGAGGCCUCACCAGAAGCAGAUGCUGGCACUAUGCUUCUUGUACAG
ensembl:lncRNA ZNF529-AS1 ZNF529 antisense RNA 1